UCUGUUGAUCCAUUUGAUGCCAUAGGCCAUCAGAUAGUCUCCUAUCAUGAGCUUGUUCGCGUCACCAAUAAUUUCCGUGAAGAAGACAUCUUGGGAUCCGGAAGCAUUGGAAAAGUCUUGAAGGGCCAACUAAGCAGUGGUUUGGUGGUUGCGAUAAAGGUUCUUGACAUGCAACUAGAGCAGGCCAUUCGAUACUUUGAUGCGGAGUGUCGAGUGCUUCGUAUGGCGCGACACAACCUGAUAAGGAUACUUAACACUUGUUCCAACCUUGACUUCAAAGCACUAGUGCUUCAAUACAUGCCAAAUGGUAGCUUAGAGAUGCUGCUUCAUGGAUCAGCACAACAACGUGCUUGGGAUUCCGAGAGACUGGGCAUCAUGCUUGAUGUUUCGAUGGCAAUGGCUUAUCUACACCAUGAGCACUACGAGUUUAUCUUGCAUCGUGACCUGAAGCCUGGCAACGUGUUGUUUGAUGAGGACAUGACGGCGCAUGUGGCAGACUUUGGCAUUGCAAAGUUGGUUCUAGAUGACAACUCCAUGAUAAGUGUGAGCAUGCCUGGAACAGUUGGGUACAUGGCACCGGAGUACGGGUCAUUUGGAAAAGCAUAGCGGAAGAGCGGCGUCUUCAGCUAUAGGAUCAUGCUCCUUGAACUCUUCACUGGAAAGCGGCCCACUGCCACUAUGUUUGGCGCACAAUUAACGCUCAGGCAGUGGGUUCAUGAGGCAUAUCCUGCAGAGCUUGUCAAGGUCGUCGAUGGACAGCUCCAGUGGACGAUGGGUUUCUUGCUUCAAUAUUUGAGUUGGGCUUGA
rnacentral:rRNA from 1 species